AAAAAUACAAUACAAAAAACUACAAGAGAAAAGUCAAAUGGAAAGAAUUUUAAAGAAGGCCUCCAAAACACACAAGAGAAGAGUUGAGGAUUUCAACAGACACCUGGACGCACUGACAGAGCAUUACGACAUUCCCAAAGUCAGCUGGACGAAAUAAAUAUUUUCGACUGGGUGCAUUCAGAGCAAAAUCAGCUGCCAUGAUGUUACCGUACAUGCUUCUUGCUUACUCUGCAACAAAGUCAUUUCCAUUUGGGUUGUAUUAAAAUUAUUCACUGUAUAUUGAGAUUAUGUUUUGUAGCUUUUGGUUAAACUAUUUAAGAUUUUGAUUGGGUUUUGUUUAUUGUACCUAUGGUAACUUUUAAUUCUCUUGCCCCCUAUGUUAUAUCAAGUGUAAAAGAAUCUGGGUCUCGUCUUUGACGGUGAACUGAAGCUUGAUAAACAGGUUAAUUGUCUGGUUAAGUCUAGUUUUGUCCAUUUGAGAUCUUUAGCCAAAGUAUAAUCAUGUCUCGUAAGUCAUUUACUCACCCUCAUGCUGCUGCAAUCCUGUAUGACUUGCUUUCUUCUGUGCAUAAAAUCAUAAAAAAAGUCAGCAAACAGCACAAAAUAAC